rnacentral:rRNA from 1 species
AGAACGAACGCUGGCGGCAGGCUUAACACAUGCAAGUCGAGCGCCCCGCAAGGGGAGCGGCAGACGGGUGAGUAACGCGUGGGAACAUACCCUCCGGUUCGGAAUAGCUCAGGGAAACUUGGAUUAAUACCGGAUACGGCCUAGCGGCGAAAGAUUCAUCGCCGGAGGAUUGGCCCGCGUUCGAUUAGCUAGUUGGUGAGGUAACGGCUCACCAAGGCGACGAUCGAUAGCUGGUCUGAGAGGAUGAUCAGCCACAUUGGGACUGAGACACGGCCCAAACUCCUACGGGAGGCAGCAGUGGGGAAUAUUGGACAAUGGGCGAAAAGCCUGACGCAGCAACGCCGCGUGGAGGACGAAGGCUUUCUGAGUUGUAAACUCCUUUCAGCAGGGACGAUUGUGACGGUACCUGCAGAAGAAGCACCGGCCAACUACGCGCCAGCAGCCGC